GCGGGGAUAGCUCAGAUGGGAGAGCGUCAGACUGAAGCAACACUUCAUUCAUGAAAUCUGAAGGCCGUGUGUUCGAUCCACACUCACCGCA
rnacentral:tRNA from 1 species